AUAUCAAAAGCGGAGGAAAAGAAAAUAACAAGGAUUCCCCUAGUAACGGCGAGUGAACCGGGAAGAGCUCAAAUUUGAAAUCUGGCGUGCUCAGUGCGUCCGAGUUGUAAUCUAUAGAGUCGUUUUCCGUGCCGGACUGUGUCCAAGUCCCUUGGAACAGGGUAUCAAAGAGGGUGAUAAUCCCGUACUUGACACAAUGACCGGUGCUCUGUGAUACGUCUUCUACGAGUCGAGUUGUUUGGGAAUGCAGCUCAAAAUGGGUGGUGAGUUCCAUCUAAAGCUAAAUAUUGGCGAGAGACCGAUAGCGAACAAGUACCGUGAGGGAAAGAUGAAAAGCACUUUGGAAAGAGAGUUAAACAGUACGUGAAAUUGUUAAAAGGGAAACGAUUGAAGUCAGUCGUGACUGAGAGGCUCAGCCGGUUCUGCCGGUGUAUUCCCCUCAGUCGGGUCAACAUCAGUUUUGUUCGGUGGAUAAGGGCAGUUGGAAGGUGGCACCCUCGGGUGUGUUAUAGCCAGCUGUCGCAUACAUCGGAUGAGUACUGAGGUAAUGCAGCUCGCCUUUAUGGCCGGGGUUCGCCCAAUGCUCGAGCAGAGAACGCGGAUGAUUGAGGGAGU
rnacentral:rRNA from 1 species